ACACAUGAUGACUGAAAUUCUUCACUUUGACCUGAUGUCUGUUGAAGAAACUCUGUGUCUGAGC
rnacentral:snoRNA from 9 species